CUCUACAUCCUCAAACAAGGCAGUGGCUCACUCUUGGGGGCACAUACUGCAAUCCUCUCACCAAGACUGUGGCCCCUCUAGAGUUGGGGGGCCCCAUGGAGGAUCCAGUCACAGGAAGCAUCUCACCGAUCCUGGGAGUCGGGUUGGAUGAAAACACAGGUCAGGUGCUUGCACUGGGUGGGCUGCGAGAUGCCUUGGGGAACCUUAUGCUUCCUGGUGACAGCUUUGAGGAGCCGCUGAGCCAGAAGACAGUCCGGCUGCAGGGAGCUUCUCAACAGGAGGGCCGGACAGUGCCCCACAUGGGAGGAUCACAGGCCCUUCUGGAUGCCAACGUGCUGCUGGCCCAGAAGAGAGUGAUCUCCAUGCUCCGGAACUGCCAGGAGAGGCCGGGGUCAAGGACACAGGGGCUUCUGGAAGUUGCCAUCAAGGACAUGAGACAGGCACUGGCCUUGAGUCUACACCAUGUCCUUCAGCAGUCUCGGAGACUGGAGCGGCAGCUGGGGACGGCAGAGGGCAUCGCGGCCAGCGGUGGGAGAAUAGGAAUGAUGUGCUAUCCUGGGACCGAGCUGUGGGUCCCAGUCCUGUAUGGGAUGGAGAUUCCAGACCCUGAGGGCUCAGGGCUCAUGGUGCCCAUCCUGGGCAUGGAGACUGAUGGGGAUUCUGGUGACGCCACACCCCUGGCAGGUUCAAUGGAGGAUGCUGACGGCAAAGGUCUUGUCCCAAUCUCAAUUGGGGCUCAAGCCAUAGACCCCUUGACUGGGGAACCUGGUCCUGUCAUCGGUGCCCGGACAGAUCCCUGUGUUGGAGUGGUGGUGCCCAUUGUCCAAGUACUGGAGGCCCUACCUCGGGGAGUGAGAAACCUUGAUCUGCUGGAUACCCUAGAGCAGGAGCGGAGAGCCCGGGAGCAGUACUGGUGCCACCAGGAGCAGGAAGAGGGGCGUCUAGCAGAACAGCUGGGGCACCUGAGCUGGGAGCUCCUCUCCAUUCCAGGCGGAGAUGCCCGGCAGCAGGUGAGGCCCAGAGGAACCUCCUCACGCAUCCACCCACCCCUUUACCCAGACUCCACAGCUUUUUCCUGCAGCGUGGGGCCUUUGUCUCCCCCGCUGGCUGCAAAAAUGGAACCCUUCUCAAGGCAGACUGAGCCCCAGAUUGUUCUGGCUCCAAGCCCUAGACUCGGGCCACCCCUGAGGGUCUCAGGGUAGAGGAGAAGGAGGCAGGGCCCCCGUGAGGUGGUGCAGCCCAGAGCUCCGGCCUCCCUCUCUGAGGCCUUUCUUUU
rnacentral:lncRNA from 12 species